AGUGACUUCAUGGCGAACCGGAAGUGAUUUUGUUCUGCCGUCAGCUGAAGCAACAGAGCUAAAUUAGCUUUAAACUACUUCUUGUUGCUUGUAUGGGAGAUGAGCAGCCUGUCAAGAGAUCCAGCUGAGUCGGAAGAAGAGUUGGAGUCAGGCGUUGCCCUAAUCCUCCAUUUACCUGUUAAAAAGAAACGUAGAAGAUGUGGAACAAGAGGAAGGAAAAAGUUUGACAGAGCAGCAGUAAGG